rnacentral:lncRNA from 1 species
AGAGCUUGGAGGUGCUGGUGGAGAGGCGCCUGCAUGGGGUGAGGCCCGGGUCCUGCCACCCAGAGGAAACCUGAGCCGCAGCAGCUCCGGCUCCCUCUCUGCUGCCCCUCCCCACUGCUUUCCAAGUGCAGGUGCUGAGGCCAGUGGCCUGGUGGGUGACCGCCCUCCAGGUCCUAGGAGGAAAUUGUCCUCAGGGUGUUUGCUGGCUUGCAGUUAACAGGAGGCCUCUUCAGAGGAGAAACUUCUCCAUUUCACAUCAGCGUCUCUGGGAAAAUUCCACUCCAAGAUUCUGUAUGGACUGUCAUCCAAACACAUGGCAGGUGAUCGUCUAAACCACCCAGGGAAGGUGCCAGAGGUGACUGGUCCGCAAGCCGGCCUGCCUCUGUUAAUUAAAGUCUACAAACCUUCAAGCCCAUCGCCCUUCCUUGGUUGUCUGCGUGACCAC